ACCAGUGUGGUGUAGUGGUUAUAACGUUGGACUAGGAACUGGGAGAGACCUGGGUUCAAAUCCCUGCUCAGACA